UAUGUGAUCGUCUCUCGCAUAUCAAUAAGCGGAGGAAAAGAAACUAACAAGGAUUCCCCUAGUAACGGCGAGUGAAGCGGGAAGAGCUCAAAUUUGAAAUCUUAAAGGGUUUCCCUUUACGAAUUGUAGUUUAAGAAGUGUUUUCUGUUGAGGUUUUGGUAAAAGUUCUUUGGAAUAGGACAUCAUAGAGGGUGAGAAUCCCGUAUUUGACCUUUACUUUCAACUUUGUGAUACACUUUCAAAGAGUCGGAUUGUCUGGGAAUGCAGUCCAAAAUGGGUGGUAAAUUUCAUCUAAAGCUAAAUAUUGGCGAGAGACCGAUAGCGAACAAGUACCGUGAGGGAAAGAUGAAAAGAACUUUGAAAAGAGAGUUAAACAGUACGUGAAAUUGUCAAAAGGGAAGCGUUUGACACCAGUGUUGUUUUUCUGAAAAUCAAUUAAAGAACUGUUUAUGCUAAGCUGUUUAGACUUUAUCAGCUAUCUGUUUAGUUUUGAGCUUUUCUUUAAUGCACUUUUCAGUUAACAAGUCAACAUCAAUUUCUUUUGCUGUAAAAAAGCUUGAGGAAGGUGGCUUGAGAUUCGUCUUAAGUGUUUAUAGCCUCUUGCCUAUGCAGUCGGAGAGAUUGAGGGUCUGCAGCGUAGAUCCUUCGGGGCUAAAUGCAUUUGUGCUAAGUUAUAGCAUUUUAUAGACAACUUGUUGACUAUGAUUUGUCUUGUAGCUUACUCGCUUAUGUUAUUUUACCUACGCUUAGGAUGUUGAGUAGCGACAUACGCAC
rnacentral:rRNA from 1 species